AUUAAACUGAAGAGUUUGAUCCUGGCUCAGAUUGAACGCUGGUGGCAUGCUUAACACAUGCAAGUCGAACGGUAACAGGUCUUAGGAUG
rnacentral:rRNA from 1 species